AUCCAGCUGACGAAUCCCAACUGAGACGAAACACGCGUCCUGGAU
rnacentral:hammerhead_ribozyme from 1 species